CAGGUUGCCAUUUUUUCGGCGCAGCUCGUUGUCCUACGCAGGUUGCCAUGAAAGUCCGCUUCUUCUCUUACACAAUGGUGCGAAAAGGCGGAAGCACGACUCGAAUGCCAAAAGGGGGAUGGUACGCAGGGGGCGAGGAGGGGGCGCAGCGGAGGCGGCGGAGGCGGUGCGGAGGAGCGGCGGUCGCGUGGCAGUCCGGCGGCUACGGCGGGAGGGGACGGGAGGAGAGGAGGUGGGGUGGCGGCCGGCGUGGGUGUCUUUGGGGGUUCGGGCUCUGGUGGGUGGUCGUGGGAGGGGGGCGGGCGGCGGCGGAUGGGGAGCGGCUGCUCCUCACCGUGGGCGAGGGGGAGAGGGAGCGGCUCGAGAGGGAGGGCGAGUGGGAGGGGUGGCCGGUCUGGAAGGAGACCGCGGCGUGGAGCGAGAGGGGCGAGGCUAAGUGGCGACGGCACCCGGGCGUGGAGCAGAGGGAGAGGGUGGAGGGGCUGCUGCUGGCGGAGCGGAAGGAGGAGGUGUUGCCGCUGGGGCGGAGGGGGAGGCAUCGGUGGCGGGCCCGGCGCGACACGCUGAUAGACUUGCGCCGGCAGGGGGAGCGGCUGGAGACCCAGGCCAAGUGGCGGCGGCUACGCGCGAAGCGCCUCCAGCGCCGUGCCGAGCCGCCGCCACCGCGUGCCCACGAGUCCGUCCUGGGCCAGCUCACAGACAAGGUCAAGGAGACGAGGAGGUUGUUGUUGUAGCGCGCCUAGCUCUUCUACCAGACCUGCGACCGGCCUAUGCCUCUCGCCGAGCCUCUCCAGCCGCCGAAGCAGAAGGUGGCCAAGGGGUGACAGCUCGCCGAGCGCGUCCACAGUCUCGUCCUCGAAGCCCUCCGACCCAAACCCAUGUCCCGUUUCAUACAACAACCGUGACGAUUUCUUAACUACCGGUUCGGACCACCUCCGCGUUUUACCGAACGGAACGACGCACUGUCCCUUGAAGGUCUCCAUUAACUCCCAGAAACAUGCGACGGUCCACAACCAGGUUUUCAACGUCGGACGUAACGAGACAAGAGAGAACUAUUCUUAGUCCGAUAAGGACAGCUGUGUGUACAGACCUUCCAACGAUGUGUUAUAUACAACGGACUCGAUCGACCGUUCUCGGACUGAGGUUUUGACUCGUAACAACAACGGCUACGUAAACAUCGGUUUAAACCGCUCAUACGACCAACCCGCGUCUUACAAGAGAAAUAACCGGUCGAUGGACGAUUUUUUGAACACCGGUGGCUUCAAUGGUCACUGUGACGCUUUGGAUGGUUCUCCUUUGCACGCUGCUUCUACCAACUUUAUGUCCGUACUCUCUCGUACCUAUCGUUGACAUCGUUCCUUUUACAACCUCUUACAGUCUCGUCCAGUCGCCUAACUAAUGGGCUUUAGGACAACUUUGCUUCACGACCUUUUACAAAACUUGGUGGGUUGCGAUAGGAGACUUUUACUACCGUUGAAAGAAAACCAUCUUAAGCAACCUUCCAAGAAAAAAGAAAGGUUCAUCUCAUUAGUAAUCAUGAACUCGUUUCAUUGUAAACUGUAAGGUAAGUGUAGAAGACUACUGUCUAUCGUACUCAUCAGUAGGGGUAGAAUUAAAACCUUCUCCUUCCGAUAGAAUCACAUACUAACCGGAUGGCGCAGGAUAUAUUUUCCCUCCACAUCUCCGAUAAUAAUAUAACAAUCGGUUUACCGCCACUCCUUAAAACUUGUGAACACAACAUUUAGUACAUCAAAGGGAGCUUUUGACUAGAGGUAAGUACAUGAACUAAGUUGUACCAAAUUGUACGACUUAUACAAGUAUCUAUUACCCUCUCUAUAGAGACUUAGACU
rnacentral:rRNA from 1 species